rnacentral:rRNA from 1 species
AGGAUAAACGCUGGCGGCGUGCCUAACACAUGCAAGUCGAACGAGGUAGCAAUACCUAGUGGCAGACGGGUGAGUAACGCGUGGUCAACCUACCGUUGAGUGGGGGAUAACUAGCCGAAAGGUUAGCUAAUACCGCAUACGAGUCUCGGGGGCAUCCCUGGGCCUUAAAAGGAGCAAUCCGCUCGAUGACGGGACCGCGUCCCAUUAGCUAGAUGGUGGGGUAACGGCCUACCAUGGCACCGAUGGGUAGCUGGUUUGAGAGAGCGACCAGCCACACUGGGACUGAGAAACGGCCCAGACUCCUACGGGAGGCAGCAGUGAGGAAUUUUCCGCAAUGGGCGAAAGCCUGACGGAGCGACGCCGCGUGUGGGAAGAAGGCCUUCGAGUCGUAAACCACUGUCGAAGGGGACGAUAAUGACGGUACCCUUGGAGGAAGCCCGGACUAACUACGCGCCAGCAGCCGC